UUUCUUGCUAUUAUGCAAUACUGUGCAAUUGAAAAUUUCUUGCUAUUGCACAAUACUUAUUAUAUAAUAAUUUACACAUCCUGUUUGGUGUGUAUCUCCUACAAUAUCAUUAUUAUUUGCUUUUAAAUAUAAAUCAGAAAUAACCAACUUAAAAUGGAAAAUUUUAAAAGAAAAAAAAAAAGAAAAAAAGGAAAAAAAAGUAAAAAAAAAAAAAUCCCCCCCCCCCAAAUUUUUUGAACCCCCUUAUGAUUCAUCACCCCCAAACUCAAUCCCAGCCUUCCCUUUGUGGUAUGGUACCUUGCAGUACAAUUUCAGAGAGAUUCAUACACUUGAACACAAGUUAUUGUCUGGAAGCUAGAAAAAUGCUUGUUUUUUGGCCCCUUUUUGGCCCCAAAUUCCUAAACGUUUAUGGCAAUUACCCCCAUACUCAAACCCAGCUUUCCCUUUGUGAUAUGAAACCUUGUAGUACAAUUUCAUAAAGAUCCAUACACUUACACACAAGUUAUUGUCUGGAAACUAGAAAAAUGCUUGUUUUUUUGCCCCUUUAUGGCCCCUAAUUCCUAAAAUUUUGAGGCAAUUACCCCCAAAAUCAAUCCCAGCCUUCCCUUUGUGGUAUGGUACCUUGCAGUACAAUUUCAGAGAGAUCCAUACACUUGAACUCAAGUUAUUGUCUGGAAACUAGAAUAAAAUGCUUCGCUGGGGCGCAGCUUGAUACGACCGCAGAGGUCGAACCCUGAACAGUUGGGGCAAGUAUGGACACAACAUUCAAGCUUGAUACAGCUCUGAAUUUGGAUUGUUAUUAAAUAUUUGACACAGCAUAGGUUUCUGACACAGAAAGAAUGUGGUCUAAGAACUUGAAUUUUUUUAAUUUACCUAUUAUGGUCCAAUGUCCAAAAUCAAAAUACAUGGUUAUAUUCAGCAUAUCAAAGAACCCCAUAUUUUCAAUUUUUGUUGAAAUCAAACAAAGUUUAAUUUUGGACCCCAACUUGGACAAACUUGAAAACUGGGCCCAUAAUCAAAAAUCUAAACACAUGUUUAGAUUCAGCAUAUCAAAGAACCCCAAUAAUUCAAUUUUUGCUAAAAUCAAACUAAGUUUAAUUUUGGACCCUUUGGACCUUAAUGUAGACUAAUUUAAAAAACGGGACUUAAAAUUAAAAAUCUAAAUACACGGUUAGAUUUGGAAUAUCAAAGAACCCCAAUAAUUCAAUUUUUUAUGAAAUCAAACAAAGUUUAAUUUUGGACCCUUUUGACCUCAAUAUGAACCAAUUUGAUAGCGGGGCAUACAAAUAAAAAAUCUAAAUUCAUGGUUAGAUUCAGCAUAUCAAAGAACCCCAUAUAUUCAAUUUUUGUUGAAAUCAAAAAAAGUUUAAUUUUGGACCCCAACUUGGACCAACUUGAAAACUGGGCCCAUAAUCAAAAAUCUAAACACAUGUUUAGAUUCAGCAUAUCAAAGAACCCUAAGAAUUCAAUUUUUGUUAAAAUCAAACUAAGUUUAAUUUUGGACCCUUUGGAACUCAAUGAAGACCAAUUUUAAAAAAUGGGACCCAAAUUAAAAAUCUAAAAACACGGUUAGAUUUGGCAUAUCAAAGAACCCCAAUAAUUCAAUUUUUGAUGAAAUCAAACAAAGUUUAAUUUUAGACCCUUUUGACCUCAAUAUGAACCAAUUUGAUAGCUGGGCCCACAAAUAAAAAAUCUAAAUACAUGGUUAGAUUCAGCAUAUCAAAGAACCUCAUAUAUUCAAUUUUUGUUGAAAUCAAACAAAGUUUCAUUUUGGACCCCAAUUUGGACCAACUUGAAAACUGGGCCCAUAAUCAAAAAUCUAAAUACAUGUUUAGAUUCAGCAUAUCAAAGAACCUCAUAUAUUCAAUUUUUGUUGAAAUCAAACAAAGUUUUAAUACUGGACCCUAUCUUGGACCAACUUGAAAACUGGGCCCAUAAUCAACAAUCUAAACACAUGUUUAGAUUAAGGAUAUCAAAGAACCCCAAGAAUUCAAUUUUUGUUAAAAUCAAACUAAGUUUAAUUUUAAACCCUUCGGACCUAAAUGUGGACCAAUUUAAAAACGGGGCCCAAAAUCUAAAAACUUAAUAAACGGUUAGAUUCAGCAUAUUAAAGAACCCUAAGAAUUCAAGAAUAAAAUCCCAUUGAAAUUGGUCAAGAAAUAAGCAACUUAUACGAAGUAUCUUCUUUUGCACAAUACUGUGCAAUUGAAUAUUUCUUGCUAUUGCGCAAUAUUGUGCUAUUGGAUAUUUCUUGCUAUUGCGCAAUACUGUGCAAUUGAAGAUUUCUUGCUAUUGCGCAAUACUGUGCAAUUGAAGAUUUCUUGCUAUUGCGCAAUACUGUGCAAUUGAAGAUUUCUUGCUAUUAUGCAAUACUGUGCAAUUGAAAAUUUCAUGCUAUUGCACAAUACUUAUUAUAUAAUAAUUUACACAUCCUGUUUGGUGUGUAUCUCCUACAAUAUCAUUAUUAUUUGCUUUUAAAUAUAAAUCAGAAAUAACCAACUUAAAAUGGAAAAUUUUAAAAGAAAAAAAAAAAGAAAAAAAGAAAAAAAAGGAAAAAAAAAAAAUUCCCCCCCCCCAAAUUUUUUGAACCCCCUUAUGAUUCAUCACCCCCAAACUUAAUCCCAGCCUUCCCUUUGUGGUAUGGUACCUUGCAGUACAAUUUCAGAGAGAUCCAUACACUUGAACACAAGUUAUUGUCUGGAAGCUAGAAAAAUGCUUGUUUUUUGGCCCCUUUUUGGCCCCAAAUUCCUAAACGUUUAUGGCAAUUACCCCCAUACUCAAACCCAGCUUUCCCUUUGUGAUAUGAAACCUUGUAGUACAAUUUCAUAAAGAACCAUACACUUACACACAAGUUAUUGUCUGGAAACUAGAAAAAUGCUUGUUUUUUGCCCCUUUAUGGCCCCUAAUUCCUAAAAUUUUGAGGCAAUUACCCCCAAAAUCAAUCCCAGCCUUCCCUUUGUGGUAUGGUACCUUGCAGUACAAUUUCAGAGAGAUCCAUACACUUGAACUCAAGUUAUUGUCUGGAAACUAGAAUAAAAUGCUUCGCUGGGGCGCAGCUUGAUACGACCGCAGAGGUCGAACCCUGAACAGUUGGGGCAAGUAUGGACACAACAUUCAAGCUUGAUACAGCUCUGAAUUUGGAUUGUUAUUAAAUAUUUGACACAGCAUAGGUUUCUGACACAGAAAGAAUGUGGUCUAAGAACUUGAAUUUUUUUAAUUUACCUAUUAUGGUCCAAUGUCCAAAAUCAAAAUACAUGGUUAUAUUCAGCAUAUCAAAGAACCCCAUAUUUUCAAUUUUUGUUGAAAUCAAACAAAGUUUAAUUUUGGACCCCAACUUGGACAAACUUGAAAACUGGGCCCAUAAUCAAAAAUCUAAACACAUGUUUAGAUUCAGCAUAUCAAAGAACCCCAAUAAUUCAAUUUUUGCUAAAAUCAAACUAAGUUUAAUUUUGGACCCUUUGGACCUUAAUGUAGACCAAUUGAAAAAACGGGACUUAAAAUUAAAAAUCUAAAUACACGGUUAGAUUUGGAAUAUCAAAGAACCCCAAUAAUUCAAUUUUUGAUGAAAUCAAACAAAGUUUAAUUUUGGACCCUUUUGACCUCAAUAUGAACCAAUUUGAUAGCGGGGCCCACAAAUAAAAAAUCUAAAUUCAUGGUUAGAUUCAGCAUAUCAAAGAACCCCAUAUAUUCAAUUUUUGUUGAAAUCAAAAAAAGUUUAAUUUUGGACCCCAACUUGGACAAACUUGAAAACUGGGCCCAUAAUCAAUAAAAUGCUCCGCAGGGCGCAGCUUGAUACGACCGCAGAGGUCGAACCCUGAACAGUUGGGGCAAGUAUGGACACAACAUUCAAGCUUUAUACAGCUCUGAAUUUGGAUUGUGAUUAAAUAU